AGGAGGGCAGCUGUCUGCAAGCCAAGGAGAGUGGCCUCCCAGGAGCCAAACUUGUCACCGACGCAGUCUCAGAUUUCCAGUCCCUAGAACUAUGAACUGGGUAGGAGAAGUCAGCUGGUUCCCAUUGCUGCUGCUGGUGCCGGGAAGUGCGGAGCCAAUGACCAGUUGGAGUGACCACAGUGCCUGGAGCCAGUCCACAUUUGGGGAAUAUGAUACCAGACCAGUGUAGGAGUGGGGGAGUGCCAGGUCUCUAUGGAAACAGCCUCACAGACACAUCCAGAAGUGCGCUUUCUAGAUAACUGGAAGUACAGUCAAGUUGACAAUCAAGAUUAGCUCUCACUCCACCCAGCCCAGCUGGGUUCAGGCUCCAGACAUUCCUGCGUGGAACCCAGACCCCGGGGAGAAGUGCAGCCAUGAAACAACGGCUAGAAUCCACUGGUGAGGGCUGCCAGCUGCUCCAGAUGUCCACGAUCAUGUUCCAGAUGUAUGGCCUGUGCUGCAGCUCCCUUAGUUCCAGAAUGGUUUCCAAGCUUGGUUCUGUGUCUUCUUGGCCCCCACUACCCUGAUUAAAGCAAAGUUGGGCUGAUCACUGGGCUCUGGGCCCUGUUGAUAUAUGUGAGCACUUCCAAGAACAAAGCCCUCGUGAUAAGGAGAGCACUGCUGAGGGAGCACUCCCCUCUGUUCUUACAAGGAGGGCACUGCCUAGGCCUGAACACAUGGCCUUGCAAAAGGAGCGUCCUUCUGAGGGGAGCAGUCUGGCACCAUAAGCUCAGAGUGACUAUCCUUCAUCUUCAGGCUGAUGGUAGGAGAUGCUGCCUCAGGGCAGGCCUCCCAGGAUCCACGAGAUCACGAGAUCAGGAGAUCACGGGCCAGGCAGUAGUCUUUAGUGGUAGCCCUCAGUUCUUCAAGGUGGGUGUAAUUAACAUAAUGGGCUUCAAGUUCCAAACAGGGAGAAAGGGCAAGUGCCCUGAUCCUCAGAGCUGUGGGGAAUGGAAGUAAACCCUGGAAGAGGCUUCUCUGGGGCCCAGGGGUCAGAGAGCCACUAAAACACCGCCUCAUAUUGGAAACUGGAAGAGCGGGAAAUGGUUUCCGUAUGCAAAUGCCCGUCCCAGGAUGAGUCUAUAAGCACAUGUGGCAUGCUCAGUCAGGAAUAAAGACUCGUGCACCCAUCUGUGUGGCUUCAUUUGCAUGGAAGUCAAGUGUUCGGGAGAAUCCAUACAAAGUGAAUUAGUCAGUUUUCCAUACUUGUAAUGAAGUCUGUGGAGCUGUGUGCUUCUUAACGAUAUGAAAAUUUUCUAGCUCACAGAUAUGGAAACCGAAAACCCGUGACUAGAUGACCCCAUCUGUACCACCCCUGCUGAGAGCCCUCUUGGCUGGCAGAUGGCAUGGAGGGGGCGGUUAGUGGAAGAGGAAGAGGUCACAUGGUAGAAAAGGGAGCCAGAGAGAGGUGGGAAGGGCCAAUCAGGCUCCUGCAGGCUUUGCUUUUCAAAGGUCCCACCACCCCCUCUGCUGGGUGUCAAGCCAGACCCAGGCUACUGGGUAGUGAUGACAGGGUGGGUACCCAGGAGCCAUUAGCACAGGGUUUCAUUCUGUGGUGAUGGAGGGGUUCUUGAAGUAGAUAGAGACAGUAAAUGUGUAGUCCUGUGGGUAUACUGGUAGCCCCUGGCUGGACAUUUUAAUGGGAAAAAUUUGGAUAUUUUACAGGCUUUUUGUUGUUGAUUUUUUUGUUUUGUAUUGUUUUUUUGAUUUUUAUGUCAGCUGCUAAAUUAGGUUGACUAUGUAUAAGACAUGUCAGCCUAUCAUUCAGUAGCAAGCUUUUUUUUUUUUUAAAUAAAAAAUCCUCUUGGUAC